AUGAAGGAUGAACGAAGAUAUUUUCGUGAUUCUCCUGAUGAAGUCAAGAAUAAACUUGAAGAAGAGGCAGAGAAAUUCAGAGAGUUCUUGAGACUUUUUGGUUGGGUCCAUCUUCUUUCAUGUGCAGAAUUUUGCAGGGUGGUUUUGUUCUGGGUUGCAAACACUCAUGAGCUGAUUCAGGAUCUAAUAAUACCGGUUGCACGCCUUACCUCAAGCCACAUAUCUGUCCAUGGAAUAAUUAAAAUUUGA